GGCCCUUUAAAGAGGCUGUUCUAUCUAGACCAGGGGUGGUCAACCUGCUGCUCUCCAGCUGUUGCAAAACUACAACUCUCAGCAUGCCCAGUCUGCCUACAGCUAUCAGCCUACAGCAGGGCAUGGUGGGAGUUGUAGUUUUACAACAGCUGGA